rnacentral:rRNA from 1 species
AUUCUAGUUCUGAAUGAACGCUAGUAAGAUGUAUUACACAUGCUAGUCGAAUGUAUAAUAGAUUUAAAAAAAAUUGGUUUUUUAAUUUUUUAUUUGCAUGGCGUGUUUGUGCGUAAAGUUUGAGAACUUACCUAUUCGAAAAGUUAAAUACUUAAAAAUUAGUAUAAAAAUAUAUUAAUGAAGGAGAAUUCGCGAAUAGAUAGGCUUAAGUAAGAUUAGGUAGUUGGUAGGGUAAUUGCCAUACCAAGCCAUUGAUCUUUAGCUGUUAUGAGAGUUUGAUCAGCCACAUGGGAUAUUGAUAGUUCCCACCUAUGGCAGCAGUGGGGAAUAUUGGACAAUUAGCGCAAGCUAGAUCCAGCAAUCUUACGGAAAUGAUGACAGCCAUGGUGGCCGUAAAGUUUCGUCGUAGACUAAAAAACUGAUAUUAAGUUUACUGAGAAGCACUGACUAAUCAUGUGCCAGCAGUUGCGGUAAGACAUGAGGUGCGAGCGUUAUUCACAUUGAUUGGGCGUAAAGGAUGAGUAGAUGGUUAAGCAUUUUUUUAUUAACCCCGAGCGGAAGCGUUAGAGAAAUCAAUAAGCUUAGACUAGAAUUAAUAUGAAGAAGGUAGAAUUGUGAUUAUAGCGGUAAAAUGCUAGUAUAAAAAUAAGGCUUCCAACGCCACGGCAACUUUCUAUUAUUAAUUGACAUUGAGGCAUGAAAGUAUGGGUAUCAAAAAGGAUUAGAGGCCCUUUUAGUCCAUACCGUAAACGAUGAGUAUUAAUAUAUUAUUUAAGUUAACACGUAAAUACUCCGCCUGGGCAUUACAAUCGCAAGAUUAAAACUUAAAUUGAAAUUGGCGGGAAUUUGUAUAAACGGUGGAACAUGCGUCUUAAUUGGACAAUACACCAAAGAUCUUACCAGUAUCGAUAUUUAUUUGAAUUGAUAAAUGUCUAGGCUCUGCAUGGCUGUCGUCAGUUCGUGUUGUGAAAUAUGUGGUUAAGUCCCGAACGAACGUAAAUCUUUAUAGUAAUAUUUAAUGAAAAAUAAUAUUUUUCUUUAUUUUUUACUAUUAGGCUUUGGAGAUAUAAGAUUAAAAGUUUUAUAUUUGUGGAGUUAAAGACAGAAGUCAAGUCAGUAUGGACUUCAUAUACUGGGCGGAACGCGUGUUACAAUGGUAAUAACAAUAAGAUACAAAAGUGAGAACUUAAGUAAAACAUCAAAAAUUACCGUAGUACGGAGUAUUUUAUGCAAGUAAAAUAUUAAGGAGUAAUCGUUAGUAAUCGUAUUUUAGAAUGGUACGGUGAAAAGUAAAGCAAAUUUUGUACACACCGCCCAUCACGUGCGGAGAGUUGUUUCUAUUUUUAGUUAUGCCCUCUGCAUCGAUAUGUAUAAUUUUUUUAUAGAUUAUAAAUAUUUUUGGUUUGUUUUGAUGUAUGGAACUGAGCGUAGGUAUGAUUAUUUGGACGAAGUUGACACAAGGUAUCUGUAGGGGAACCUGCAGAUG